GGAGCGUUCUGUAAGCCUGCGAAGGUGUGCUGUGAGGCAUGCUGGAGGUAUCAGAAGUGCGAAUGCUGACAUAAGUAACGAUAAAGCGGGUGAAAAGCCCGCUCGCCGGAAGACCAAGGGUUCCUGUCCAACGUUAAUCGGGGCAGGGUGAGUCGACCCCUAAGGCGAGGCCGAAAGGCGUAGUCGAUGGGAAACAGGUUAAUAUUCCUGUACUUGGUGUUACUGCGAAGGGGGGACGGAGAAGGCUAUGUUGGCCGGGCGACGGUUGUCCCGGUUUAAGCGUGUAGGCUGGUUUUCCAGGCAAAUCCGGAAAAUCAAGGCUGAGGCGUGAUGACGAGGCACUACGGUGCUGAAGCAACAAAUGCCCUGCUUCCAGGAAAAGCCUCUAAGCAUCAGGUAACAUCAAAUCGUACCCCAAACCGACACAGGUGGUCAGGUAGAGAAUACCAAGGCGCUUGAGAGAACUCGGGUGAAGGAACUAGGCAAAAUGGUGCCGUAACUUCGGGAGAAGGCACGCUGAUAUGUAGGUGAAGUCCCUUGCGGAUGGAGCUGAAAUCAGUCGAAGAUACCAGCUGGCUGCAACUGUUUAUUAAAAACACAGCACUGUGCAAACACGAAAGUGGACGUAUACGGUGUGACGCCUGCCCGGUGCCGGAAGGUUAAUUGAUGGGGUCAGCGCAAGCGAAGCUCUUGAUCGAAGCCCCGGUAAACGGCGGCCGUAACUAUAACGGUCCUAAGGUAGCGAAAUUCCUUGUCGGGUAAGUUCCGACCUGCACGAAUGGCGUAAUGAUGGCCAGGCUGUCUCCACCCGAGACUCAGUGAAAUUGAACUCGCUGUGAAGAUGCAGUGUACCCGCGGCAAGACGGAAAGACCCCGUGAACCUUUACUAUAGCUUGACACUGAACAUUGAGCCUUGAUGUGUAGGAUAGGUGGGAGGCUUUGAAGUGUGGACGCCAGUCUGCAUGGAGCCGGCCUUGAAAUACCACCCUUUAAUGUUUGAUGUUCUAACGUGGACCCGUGAUCCGGGUUGCGGACAGUGUCUGGUGGGUAGUUUGACUGGGGCGGUCUCCUCCUAAAGAGUAACGGAGGAGCACGAAGGUUGGCUAAUCCUGGUCGGACAUCAGGAGGUUAGUGCAAUGGCAUAAGCCAGCUUGACUGCGAGCGUGACGGCGCGAGCAGGUGCGAAAGCAGGUCAUAGUGAUCCGGUGGUUCUGAAUGGAAGGGCCAUCGCUCAACGGAUAAAAGGUACUCCGGGGAUAACAGGCUGAUACCGCCCAAGAGUUCAUAUCGACGGCGGUGUUUGGCACCUCGAUGUCGGCUCAUCACAUCCUGGGGCUGAAGUAGGUCCCAAGGGUAUGGCUGUUCGCCAUUUAAAGUGGUACGCGAGCUGGGUUUAGAACGUCGUGAGACAGUUCGGUCCCUAUCUGCCGUGGGCGCUGGAGAACUGAGGGGGGCUGCUCCUAGUACGAGAGGACCGGAGUGGACGCAUCACUGGUGUUCGGGUUGUCAUGCCAAUGGCACUGCCCGGUAGCUAAAUGCGGAAGAGAUAAGUGCUGAAAGCAUCUAAGCACGAAACUUGCCCCGAGAUGAGUUCUCCCUGACCCUUUAAGGGUCCUGAAGGAACGUUG
rnacentral:rRNA from 1 species